UCUAGGCACUUAUUUUGACAUCACCACUGCCCCCACAAAAAAAAAAAAAAAAAAAGUGAGAACUGACUAUAUCACGGGUACCUAGACCAUGUGGAGAAAGGACUGAGACCGGAAGCAGAAAACACAUUGUCCGUACAGAGCAAAGUGCCAGACAACAGCUCACUCUAGUAAAGGGCGAUAAAUGCCACAUGAGAUGGUCUCCUCAGUUCAAAACUAGUGUCAUAUCUCAAGCUUGUGCCUAUAGGAAAAUCCUGCACUGGUAUCAGUUAUGAAGUUGCAUCUGACUUAUGUGCCUGGUCUGAUGACUUCAACUAUCUUUUCAUGACUCCUAAAUUAUGGAGAUAGAUCCAAUAGAAGGCCGAACAAUUCAUGACAAAACUGUUCUGGGACCAAGCUGGUGAGUAAUUAUGGUUUCUAUGAUGUUGUUGAUUUUCCAGAAAUCUAAGUAUUUUAAGUAAUA